GUUCUGUAUCUCCCCCCAGCGCUUAGAACAGUGCUCGGUCACAGAGUACCAUUCAGUUUAUGACUUCACUGCCCGAAAUUGGAUUUUGGGCCAUAUGCAAUCACUAUCACCUUUACUGAUUCCUCGGCCUCCUCUCCUCCUCUUCCUGUCCCCUGAGACAAUCACAAGUGAAAGCACCAGUGCCAGACAGGAGGCAAAUUCCAGCUAAAUCAGACCCAGGAGGAAAUGGAGAUUUUCCCAGGGUGACCGGUCCACCGAAGAAGUCCACAGAAGAACUCCCAAGUCAAAGGUCGGCA